UACGGAGGGGGCUAGCGUUGUUCGGAAUUACUGGGCGUAAAGCGCACGUAGGCGGACCAGUUAGUUGGGGGUGAAAUCCCGGGGCUCAACCCCGGAACUGCCUCCAAAACUGCUGGUCUGGAGGUCGAGAGAGGUGAGUGGAAUUUCGAGUGUAGAGGUGAAAUUCGUAGAUAUUCGGAGGAACACCAGUGGCGAAGGCGGCUCACUGGCUCGAUACUGACGCUGAGGUGCGAAAGUGUGGGGAGCGAACAGG
rnacentral:rRNA from 1 species